AGCUGCAGCUGCUAGGCAAUGGAGCGAGCGCCCAGGGAGUUUCCAUGCAGCGACCAAUAAGUUUGGAGACUUGGGUCAAGUGCGACCUUGCUAGGCACGCUUUUUCCACCUUCUUGGGCUUGUGCUCGCCCCCCCCCCCCCUGUCUCCGUCUCUCUUCACCCCUUGCCCGCCCGCACGGUGGGGGACUAAAGGGCUUUCUCCCUCCUCUUCCUAGCUGAACCCUUCUGCUCGGAAGUAAGAAGCUUUUCCCUCGUGAGAGCAGCCGUGACCUGAUUGUCUCUAAGCUCCUGGGCAAUUUAUAGCUUGGUAAUACCGAGAGAUGCCAAACAGGGAGGCUGAGAGGCUUGGACGGGAGGGCAGGCUGGCUGGCCCUGGGGUGGAGUCUAGCUCCCAAGGGCAGGAGCCUUUUACUCCACAGGUGAAAUGCUUUCUUGUCACUAACAGAGAUUUUUUUUUUUCUUUCCCACUCGCUUGACCUUGCUCAGUGCCCUCAGAACCUCUUGUUUUGCUUGGAAAUCUUAGCAGUUUUUGUAAAGUUGAUCAAUAGCCACAAAUGAGCACUCCCCUAAUUGGGCUCUUUAUUUUCCUGACAGGAUGAUCCUGGCAUCUCAGGUAAGGAAAUAAAUAGCGAUCGCAAUUCCCCAAACUCAUCCACUUUGAACUGGAGUUUCAUUAACACUGGUGUGCAAAGGUAACUGUAGAGAGAAUUCAAUUAACAGUAACACAUUUCUUCAGGUUUGUAAUUAAAUCUCUUCUAUUUAUAUAAUGUUUAAGAUUAAGAUUCAGAAUAUAUGCCCAAAGGUGGCCACUUUCACAUAAAUGUAUCCUUCUGGGACAUGAACCCUUUUGUUUUGGGCUUUGUUUGCAUUAUCAAGAAUUUAGAAUCAGAGGUAAACUAAGAAAAUAAUACACCUUCAACUUGUAACUUUAUGUAAUAUGCACCUUCGGUUUUCCAAAAAAAGCCCCUAAACCUUAUUUGAAAAUAGUUUCAUAGGUGAGAAGAGGAGAUAACAGACAUUGUAAGUUGAUUUGAAAUGUUUGGCCAAGGAGGGGAGAGGCCUGAAGAGAAGGGGGAGUGGAGUGGGUCAGAGUAAAAGCAGGUAGAAAAACUGAGUAUUUGUCUUUAUUCUCCAAUGAAGAUGAGUGCAUGAGAGAAGCAUUAUAAUAUCCACCUAAUGGAAAUUUUUAUUUUAAAAAUAUACAUUGCUCUCUAUUUAGUUUUUUUCCUAGUUUAAAAGCUACAUAUUUUUCCCAGUUACCAACAGCAACAUGUAGAAAAAAGAAGAACACGUUAAUGAAUGGAAUGGGAAUAUAGAAUUUUUGAAUUUCUGUUCCAAACCCUGGGUCUAUCAUCAUUUUAGGCAAUUUCGUUUUUUCUGUCCACAUCAUAGGCUACCCACAGUGUCCUUCAGUGGAAAGUAUUCUAGGGGACAUGGAUAUGUCAGAACUCCCCCACCCCACCCCUCAGUGUUUCUUGAAGAGGACAGCUGCCUAUAAUAAGAAAUAGGCUUUGGGCAUAUUUCACUGUACUUAAUUUUAGAAUUAGUAGCAUUUUUACUUAUCAAUAUUAAGAAGAUUAUUUAUAUAUACUGACUGGAUACAAAGUAAGAUUUUUUGUUGUUUUGUUUUGUUUUAUUUUUGGGUUUUUUGUUUGUUUGUUUGUUUGUUUUGUUUUGGGACCAAAGUUUUUGAUUCUCCUUUAUAUUUUCAUAUUGUUGUCAGCCAUUUGGGAAUUCAUUCAAGACCUUGCCUGGUCCUAUUUGGUUGGUACAGUAUCAACAUCAUGUUUUUAUAAGUGUGUGUGUGUGCCUGUCUGUCUGUGAAAGAACAUAUGCUUAUGGAGGCCAAGGGAUGACCGGGUUAUUAUCUUCAGGAAAACUUAUUGUCUUUGGGAAUGCCACCUGCCUUCUUUGACAGAGUCUCUUUGAGUUCUGUCUUAGUUGGAGUUUCAUUGUUGUGAAGAAACAUCAUGAUCAAGGCAGCUCUCAUAAAGGAAAACAUCUAAUUGGGGCUGGGCUACAGUUUCAAAGGCUCAGUCCAUUAUCCGGAGCAUGGCACCGUGUAGGCAGAAAUACAUUUUGAUCUGAAGGCAACCAGCAGGAGACUGAUUCUUCCACACUGGGUAGACCUUGAGAACUAGGAGCCCUCAAAGCCCACCUAUGCAGUGACACACUUCUUCCAACAAGGCCAUACCUAUUCCAACAAGGCCACACCUCCUCAUAGUGCCACUUCCCAUGGGCCAAGCAUAUUCAAAUCACCACAAAUUGAAACUCAGCAAUUAAGUUCUACUGGCUGGCCACUGAGCCUCACAGACCUUCUGCCUCUCUCUUCCCAGUGCUAAAAUUACAAGUGCAUGUAGCAUUACACUUGGCUAUUACAUGGGAGCUAAGGACUGAACUCAGCUCCUCACACUUGUAAGAACUUGACUGAGCAUCUUCUUAGUCCCAAGAUAUAUUCUUAUUGAAGACACUAUGUAUGAAUUCUCAUCUUCACAUCACACCGUUGUUUGUUAAAAAGAAAGUUCAAUAAAUUUGACUCGUUCUUUUUCACUUUUACUAGCCUGCUUAUAGCUACUUUCCUACUUAGGAUUCCUAUCUCUUUUACCAUCAACCCAACUCCUUUCCUGAGUAUAUGGUAUUGAUUCGUUCCUUAAUCACUUGUUAUUUUCAGACCUGUGUUCUCCUUUGAAUGUUUUGCUUCUAUGCAUAAACAAAGCCCUACUUUUAUUAACU
rnacentral:lncRNA from 1 species